rnacentral:tRNA from 1 species
GUGGGUACAGCUGAAUGGCAGAGCAGGUGCUUAGCAUGCAUGAGGUCCUGGGUUCAAUUGCCAGUACCUCCA